UCGGNAACGAGUGGCGGACGGGUGAGUAACACGUAGGUAACCUGCCCAGAAGCGGGGGACAACAUUUGGAAACAGAUGCUAAUACCGCAUAACAGCGUUGUUCGCAUGAACAACGCUUAAAAGAUGGCUUCUCGCUAUCACUUCUGGAUGGACCUGCGGUGCAUUAGCUUGUUGGUGGGGUAACGGCCUACCAAGGCGAUGAUGCAUAGCCGAGUUGAGAGACUGAUCGGCCACAAUGGGACUGAGACACGGCCCAUACUCCUACGGGAGGCAGCAGUAGGGAAUCUUCCACAAUGGGCGCAAGCCUGAUGGAGCAACACCGCGUGAGUGAAGAAGGGUUUCGGCUCGUAAAGCUCUGUUGUUAAAGAAGAACACGUAUGAGAGUAACUGUUCAUACGUUGACGGUAUUUAACCAGAAAGUCACGGCUAACUACGUGCCAGCAGCCGCGGUAAUACGUAGGUGGCAAGCGUUAUCCGGAUUUAUUGGGCGUAAAGAGAGUGCAGGCGGUUUUCUAAGUCUGAUGUGAAAGCCUUCGGCUUAACCGGAGAAGUGCAUCGGAAACUGGAUAACUUGAGUGCAGAAGAGGGUAGUGGAACUCCAUGUGUAGCGGUGGAAUGCGUAGAUAUAUGGAAGAACACCAGUGGCGAAGGCGGCUACCUGGUCUGCAACUGACGCUGAGACUCGAAAGCAUGGGUAGCGAACAGGAUUAGAUACCCUGGUAGUCCAUGCCGUAAACGAUGAGUGCUAGGUGUUGGAGGGUUUCCGCCCUUCAGUGCCGGAGCUAACGCAUUAAGCACUCCGCCUGGGGAGUACGACCGCAAGGUUGAAACUCAAAGGAAUUGACGGGGGCCCGCACAAGCGGUGGAGCAUGUGGUUUAAUUCGAAGCUACGCGAAGAACCUUACCAGGUCUUGACAUCUUGCGCCAACCCUAGAGAUAGGGCGUUUCCUUCGGGAACGCAAUGACAGGUGGUGCAUGGUCGUCGUCAGCUCGUGUCGUGAGAUGUUGGGUUAAGUCCCGCAACGAGCGCAACCCUUGUUACUAGUUGCCAGCAUUAAGUUGGGCACUCUAGUGAGACUGCCGGUGACAAACCGGAGGAAGGUGGGGACGACGUCAGAUCAUCAUGCCCCUUAUGACCUGGGCUACACACGUGCUACAAUGGACGGUACAACGAGUCGCGAACUCGCGAGGGCAAGCAAAUCUCUUAAAACCGUUCUCAGUUCGGACUGCAGGCUGCAACUCGCCUGCACGAAGUCGGAAUCGCUAGUAAUCGCGGAUCAGCAUGCCGCGGUGAAUACGUUCCCGGGCCUUGUACACACCGCC
rnacentral:rRNA from 1 species